AUUGAACGCUGGCGGCAGGCCUAACACAUGCAAGUCGAGCGGAUGAAGAGAGCUUGCUCUCUGAUUUAGCGGCGGACGGGUGAGUAAUGCCUAGGAAUCUGCCUGGUAGUGGGGGAUAACGUUCCGAAAGGAACGCUAAUACCGCAUACGUCCUACGGGAGAAAGCAGGGGACCUUCGGGCCUUGCGCUAUCAGCUGAGCCUAGGUCGGAUUAGCUAGUUGGUGAGGUAAUGGCUCAACAAGGCGACGAUCCGUAACUGGUCUGAGAGGAUGAUCAGUCACACUGGAACUGAGACACGGUCCAGACUCCUACGGGAGGCAGCAGUGGGGAAUAUUGGACAAUGGGCGAAAGCCUGAUCCAGCCAUGCCGCGUGUGUGAAGAAGGUCUUCGGAUUGUAAAGCACUUUAAGUUGGGAGGAAGGGCAUUAACCUAAUACGUUAGUGUUUUGACGUUACCAACAGAAUAAGCACCGGCUAACUUCGUGCCAGCAGCCGCCGUAACAC
rnacentral:rRNA from 1 species